rnacentral:sRNA from 1 species
AGCUGUGAACAGAGCACGCGCAAAUGGUUCGAUUCGAGUCGCAGUUGUAUUAGUUUUAACAAAGUUUUGUCAGAUUUAUCCAACAACUGACUUAAAGUGUAUCACAAAUGAGAUUUCCUAGUUCAAUGUGAACAAAUAUAGAACAUCCCAAAGGAAAGAGUGAGUAGAAAUAGCCAGACAUAAUUGAGACUUGUGCGUGAUUCUGUUCUGAGGUGUGUGCAGCCUGUUUCUUUCGGUAUUCUGGUGAUGUUGCGGAAGUGAAGGCUAAAGUGCGCCCCAGUGGGCCAGUGGACUUGCCCCAAGAAGAAAAUGGGUUCACCAAGCCAACCUAGGACGUCUCGUUGGAAGAGAGCAUUUUCGAAAGCAACUCAACUGAAUCUACAGGCGGAAACCAAAAGGCUGACCAGUUGCCAGACAGUUUGUACGACAAAUCAACUGAACCGCAAAUUAUUUUCGUGCUAUUUUUGUUAUCCAGGAGCCCAAUUGAGAUGCGAAUGGUUUGAGCUGUGGUUGAGUUCGGGAGGAGCCUACACGAAAUGGAAGCUCAAUUGUUCUUGGAAGACCUCAUCAGUUCGACAUCGCUUUAAGAUUUAUUAUCAUAUAAGUAUGAACAUACGACCUUUAUUUCAUAAGAAUUUACUGGGCAUACGGA